CUUUGACAUGUCAUCGGUGAGUGUGUUUACACACUCUCUACAUAGUUGGUUGAGUUAGCGAAAAAUAUCAAAAUGGCACAGCCAGACCUUCUAUGGUGUUUAAAUGGUACAAGACUUGGCAGUGGUCUUUAAACGAAAGAUGUUGUUAUCUUUGAUGUGUCCCCACUUUCUACAACCCCCAACUACCCUUGAAUAGGCCUAGCAGACAUAGUUGUACCAAUUACAAGUAAUAUCACUAGCAAAAGGAAGAAAGAAAUCACUGAUCAUUCUUGUUUGUAAAUUACUCUUAGCAUAUUCAACAGAUUUCAGAAAUGGAUAUCGGCUUAGCAGUUGGUGGUGCAUUUCUCUCUUCAGCUUUGAAUGUUCUCUUUGAUAGGCUUACUCCUCAGGGUGAUCUGCUCAACAUGUUUCAGAAACAUACGAAUGAUGUUCGGCUCUUAAAGAAGCUGAGAAUGACUUUGCUUGGUCUUCAAACUGUGUUAAGUGAUGCAGAGAAUAAGCAAGCAUCAAAUCAAUUUGUGAGCCAGUGGCUUAAUGAGCUUCGAGAUGCUGUGGACUCUGCUGAAAAUUUGAUGGAACAAGUCAAUUAUGAGGUUUUGAGACUUCAGGUGUCUAGCAACCAGCAAGUAAGUGACCUCAACCUGUGCUUGAGUGAUGAUUUCUUUCUUAACAUAAAGGAGAAGUUGGAAGACACUAUUGAAACAUUGAAGGAUUUGCAAGAGCAAAUUGGUCUACUUGGCUUAAAGGAACAUUUUGGUUCGACUAAACGAGAAACUAGAACACCUUCAACUUCUUUGGUUGACGAUUCUGAUAUCUUUGGAAGGCAGAAUGAUAUAGAGAAUUUGAUUGACCAUUUAUUGUCUGAAGAUGUAAAUGGAAAUUUUUUGACUGUAGUUCCUAUUGUUGGAAUGGGAGGUGUGGGUAAGACAACACUUGCUAAAGCGGUUUACAAUGAUGAGAAGGUGAAAAACCAUUUUGGUUUGAAAGCUUGGUUUUGUGUUUCUGAGGCAUAUGAUGCUUUCAGAAUAACGAAAGGGUUACUUCAAGAAAUUGGCUCAUUUGACUUAAAGGUUGGUGACAAUCUUAAUCAGCUACAGGCCAAAUUGAAGGAAAGCCUGAAGGGAAAGAAGUUUCUUGUUGUCCUUGAUGAUGUGUGGAAUGAUAACUAUAAUGAGUGGGAUGACCUGAGAAAUCUUUUUGUACAAGGAGAUAUGGGAAGUAAGAUCAUUGUAACUACACGUAAGGAGAAUGUUGCCUCGAUGAUGGGUAGCAGAGCAAUCAACGUGGGAACUCUGUCUAGUGAAGUCUCUUGGGAUUUAUUCAAACGACAUUCACUAGAAAAUAGGGAUCCUGAGGAACACCCAAAAUUUGAAGAGGUUGGAAGAAAAAUUGCAGACAAGUGCAAAGGGGUGCCUUUAGCUCUAAAGACACUUGCUGGUAUUUUGCGCUGCAAAUCAGAGGUGGAAGAGUGGAGAGACAUUUUAAGUAGGAAAAUAUGGGACCAACCAAGUUGUUUGAAUGGUAUAUUACCAGCGUUGAUGCUGAGCUACAAUGAUCUUCCUCCAGAUUUGAAGCGAUGUUUUGCUUAUUGUGCAAUAUAUCCAAAAGAUUAUCUAUUUUGCAAAGACCAAGUUAUAUACUUGUGGAUUGCUAAUGGUCUUGUACAGCAGUUUCAUUCAGGUAACCAAUACUUUUGUGAGUUGAGAUCAAGAUCAUUGUUCGAAAGGGUCCCAGAGUCUGAAGGGAAACCGGAGGGAUUCUUAAUGCAUGACCUAGUCAAUGAUUUGGCCCGAAUUGCAUCUUCAAAACUUUGUAUUAGGUUGGAAGAGAACAAAGGAUCUCAUAUGUUGGAACAAAGUCGGCACAUGUCCUAUUCCAUGGGAGAAGGUGAUGACUUUGAACAGUUGAAGCCCCUCUACAAAUUGCAGCAGUUGAGGACAUUGCUUCUAAUCGAUACUGAUUACUCACCUCCGCUAACCAAGAGGGUGUUGCAUAACAUAUUGCCAAGACUAACAUCCUUAAGGUCAUUAUCGUUGUCAAAUAGUUGGAUUGUGGAGUUGCCAGAUGUGUUGUUUAUCAAAUUAAAGCUUCUCAGAUUCUUGGACCUUUCUAGGGUGCUGAUUGAAAAGUUGCCAGAUUCCAUUUGUGUAUUGUAUAACUUGGAGACACUUCUACUGUCACAUUGUAGUAAUCUUAAGGAGUUACCGCUGCAGAUGGAAAAGCUAAUCAACUUACGCCAUCUUGACGUAAGCAACACUUUUAGCUUGAAGAUGCUGCUACAUCUAAGCAAGUUGAAAAGCCUCCAAGUGCUAGUGGGAGCUAAGCUUCUUCUAGGUGGUCAUGGUGGAUUGAGAAUGGAAGAUUUGGGUGAACUGCAUAACUUGUAUGGAUCUCUAUCAAUUCUAGAGUUGCAAAAUGUGGUUGAUAGAAGGGAAGCUCUAAAGGCAAACUUUUGGGAGAAGAAUCAUGUUGACAAAUUAUCAUUGGAGUGGAGUGAAAGUACCGCCGACAAUUCACAAACUGAAAGAGACAUACUUGAUGAGCUAUGUCCACACACAAACAUAAAAGAACUCCAAAUCACCGGAUAUAGAGGGACAAAAUUUCCAAAUUGGCCACCUAGUCUUUCGUUUCUUGAGCUGGUUAAAUUGUCUAUUGAUUCCUUGCCAGCACUAGGACAACUCCCUUCUUUGAAAUUCCUUUUCAUUAGAAGGAUGCAUCGAAUAACAGAGGUUACAGAAGAAUUCUAUGGAAGUUCGUCAUCUGGAAAACAUUUUAACUCUCUUGAGAAGCUUGAAUUUGAAGAUAUGCCAGAGUGGAAGCAAUGGCACGUACUAGGAAGUGGCGAGUUCCCUAUACUUGAGAAUCUUUCAAUUGAAAAUUGUCCGAAGUUGAUAGGGAAGUUGCCUGAAAAUCUUUGUUCUCUGACAGAAUUGAGCAUUUCAAGAUGUCCUGAACUCAAUUUAGAGACACCUCUUUUUAACGAGGCUGAACUGUUUACAUCCCAACUUAAGGGAAUGAAGCACAUUGUUGAUUUAUAUAUUGUUGGUUGUAACUCUCUUACCUCCUUACCUUUUAGCAUACUGCCGAGUACCUUGAAGACAAUAACCAUAUCUCGUUGCCAGAAAUUGAAAUUGGAUCCACCAGUCGGUGAGAUAAGUUAUUGUAACAUGUUUCUCGAGAGAUUGAAACUGCAUGAAUGUGUUUCUAUAGAUGAUAUAUCACCUGAGUUGGUCCCAAGAGCAUGCAAAUUGAAUAUAUCUAGUUGCCAUAACAUAACUAGCUUUUCGAUUCCUACUGUGACUGAGAGACUCUUCAUUUUUGGAUGUCACAACCUUUCGGUUGCAUGUGGGGGCAGCCAGAUGACGUACUUGGGUAUCGUCUACUGUGAGAAGCUGAAGUGGCUGCCAGAACGUAUGCAGGAACUCCUUCCAUCUCUUAAGGAACUGGAACUGUUGGAUUGUCCAGAAAUAGAGUCCUUUCCUGAAGGAGGAAUGCCAUUCAAUUUACAACAACUUCGAAUUGGGAAUUGCAAGAAACUGGUGAACAGCCGAAAAGAGUGGAGUUUACAUAGACUCCCCUGUCUCAGAAAGUUAGUGAUCGAACAUGAUGGCAGUGACGAAGAGAUCGAACAUUGGGAGUUGCCUUGCUCUAUUCAAAGAUUUGAGGUAUCCAAUCUGAAAACAUUAAGCACCCAACUUCUCAAAAGCCUCACCUCUCUUGAAGAUCUACGUAUUGGUAAUUUACCUCAAAUUCAGUCAAUGCUGGAAGAAGGGCUUCCCUCCUCUCUUUCUCACCUCACUUCACUUCAAAGCCUAAGCAUCUUCUCCUGCCAUCAACUCCAGUCUCUUUCCCUUCCCUCCUCCCUCUCCAAGCUGAACAUCGAGAAUUGUCCUAAUCUCCAAUCACUUUCCGAAUCAGCACUGCCUUCCUCCCUCUAUGAGCUGACCAUCGCGCAUUGCGCUAAUCUCCAAUCCCUUCCAGCAAAAGGAAUGCUCUCUUCCCUCUCUAAACUAGAUAUUUCCAACUGUCCAUUCCUCAAACCACUCCUAGAAUUUGACAAGGGGGAAUACUGGCCAGAAAUUGCUCAUAUCUCCAUCAUAGAAAUCGAUGAGGAAUACCUUUAAUGAUUAAAACGAGUGGUACUCUCACAAAUUGAGUUUAGAGUUAUGCACAUGUCCACUAUCGAAGUCAAAGCUCUAAUAGAAUUCAAAGGUGUACGAUACACAAGGUUGGUGAUGGUAUUCUUGAAAGCAUAAGAAGAAAGAAUAUACAUCAAUCAUCCAUGGCAACGUAUACUUAUGAGGAAACAAUGGCUACCACCAGAACUUGUUUGUUGGGACAUAAAAAGACCAUGUCUAAGGUAUGGAGAAACUUACAAGAUUCUGUUGCAUCAGUAUGAAUGUUGGUGGAUGGUUUAAAUGUGGUCCUGACAAGAUUCUGUUGCAUCAGAGUUGGGAUCUCGCUAACCUCCCUUCUGUGAAACUCACUUUGUUGGAUUGUUGGAAGCAGAUGAGCCCGUGCAAGCAUCUAAAUAGGAAAAGAUUUUAUUGUCAGUACUUUUCUUUCUUCAUUAUUUUUAACUCUUGCUCUUCUCUCAAACCUGUUCUCGAGUCGAGAGUCUGUCAAAAACAGCCUCUCUGUUCCUUCAAGGGUAUUGGUAAGGUCUACGUACACCUACCUUCCUCAUACCCAACCUGUGGGACUAUACUAGGUAUGUUGUUGUUGUUGUAGUUAGUAGUAGUAGAUUGUAUUUUACUACUUAGAAUUGACAGCAGAACAAAGAAAGAUCCAUCUCUUAUUAAUUCUUCUAGUUUUAGCUGAUGCAUAUAAGCUAUUCAAAAUAUGAUGCUGUCUUACUUACUACACUUUGUUGCAAUACACUGUAUAUACACUAUUUAAGAUAUAUACACAAAUAUGCAUA